GCUGGGUGUGGUGGUGUAUGCCUAUAAUCUCAGCUACAACGGAGGGCUGAGGCAGGGGGAUUGCAAGUUUGAGGGCAGCCUCAAUAAUUUAGCUGGACCCUGUCUCAA
rnacentral:sRNA from 1 species